AUUGGAGAAAGUCUACAAGUAUCUAGCAAUACCCCAUUGGAAAGUCUUCGACAAAGUCCGACUAGUUCUAGAUGGACAACCUCAUAAAGAGGUGUGGGGCACUAGAAAUGGGGUCGGCGAGUCGCAUCUUCGGCAAAAGAUGGUCUAUUUCAGACUAGAUGCCAGCCUGCGACUGUGUCAUAGUUGGAAAGGUCCACGGCCGGCUAGGUGAGUGUAAUCAGCGAGGUGGCUUUAUCGUGAAGUCAGAACUCAAUUCAGACUACUCUUCCCCCAGA
rnacentral:RNase_P_RNA from 2 species